CGGGGCAUAGCUCAGCCUGGUAGAGCGCUUGGUUCGGGACCAAGAGGUCGCAGGUUCAAUUCCUGUUGCCCCGA
rnacentral:tRNA from 1 species